GACUGGACUCGAUGGAUGUUGAAGCUUUGAAGAAGCUCAACAAAAAUAAGAAACUAGUGAAGAAAUUGGCUAAGAAGUACCAUUCCUUUUUAGCUUCUGAAGCUGUUAUCAAGCAGAUUCCGCGUCUUUUGGGUCCUUUGGGUCCUGGACUCAACAAGGCAGGCAUGUGUUUUAUUUUGAGAAAAAAAAUGUCAACAUAUGUUUAGUCCUAGCAUGUAGAACUGGAUUAUGGGCAAGAGAGUUUUCUCUCAAUUGGCCCUGAUUCUAUUACUGAUGAAUAUAUUCUUGUGUAUUCAGUUUGUAAAUGUUUUAAGUUCGUAUUGAUCUGUCACUACUACUUAAUGCCAUUGUCUACUAAUUUAACUUAUCUUUAAUGUUGUAGUUACCAUUAGAUCAAGGAGGAGGUGAGGGUAAAGGUGAGGGUAAAGCUAUGUACAUAGAUGCUAAGGGAACAUUUAGGCCUCAGCGACUCUUACAGAUUGCAGACAGGUUUGGACUGAAUGGUGCUGAUGUAUUGAAAAAAAAGACCCACUUACUGAACUUUUUGCAGACUACUACUUAUGAUAUCUUUGAAGAGUCUUGGUUUUUCUUCUUCAGCUCAAGUCAAACUGUAUAGAUCAUACCGAUUCAAUAAGAUAGGGGUGAUGGUAGUGCAUGGUUAUUGAUCACAUUUGUUCUAUAGUUUAAGGCGAAAAUGGAAAUGCAUUUGUGAAUAAGUGUGUACUAUAGGUUGUGAAUAAUGGUUUGAAUAUUCAGGAUUUAAAAAAUCUAUUUUACUCUCAUAGUCAA